AUUGAACGCUGGCGGCAGGCCUAACACAUGCAAGUCGAGCGGAGCGGCGGACGGGUGAGUAAUGCCUAGGAAUCUGCCUGGUAGUGGGGGAUCACGUCCGGAAACGGGCGCUAAUACUGCAUACUAUCAGAUGAGCCUAGGUCGGAUUAGCUAGUUGGUGGUGUAAAGGCCUCACAAGGCGACGAUCCGUAACUGGUAUGAGAGGAGGAUCAGUCACACUGGAACUGUGACACGGGCCAGACUCCGUCGGGAGGCAGCAGUGGGGAAUAUUGGACAAUGGGCGAAAGCCUGAUCCAGCCACGCCGCGUGUGUGAAGAAGGUCUUCGGAUUGUAAAGCACUUUAAGUUGGGAGGCGUUACCAACAGAAUAAGCACCGGCUAACUUCGUGCCAGCAGCCGCGGUAAUAC
rnacentral:rRNA from 1 species